rnacentral:tRNA from 1 species
GCCCGGUUAGCUCAGGUGGAUAGAGCGAUUCUUUCCUAAAGAAUAGGCCACAGGUUCGAGUCCUGUACCGGGUACUA